GCGGAAGUAGCUCAUUUGGUAGAGCGAUAGCCUUCCAAGCUAUAGGUGGCGGGUUCGAGCCCGUCUUCCGCU
rnacentral:tRNA from 1 species